GUCCACGCCGUAAACGAUGGGUGCUAGGUGUGGGGGGUGUCGACUCCCCCCGUGCAGAAGCUAACGCAUUAAGCACCCCGCCUGGGGAGUACGGCCGCAAGGCUAAAACUCAAAGGAAUUGACGGGGGCCUGCACAAGCAGCGGAGCAUGUGGUUUAAUUCGACGCGACGCGAAGAACCUUACCAAGGCUUGACAUGCACUUGAAUGUCGGAGAAAUUCGGCAGCCCUUCGGGGCAAGUGCACAGGUGGUGCAAUGGCUGUCGU
rnacentral:rRNA from 1 species